AGUGAACGCUGGCGGCAGGCUUAACACAUGCAAGUCGAGCGGGGUGAUGGUGCUUGCACUAUCACUUAGGGGCGGCGGGGUGAGUAAUGCUUAGGAAUCUGCCCAUUAGUGGGUGACAACAUGCCGAAAGGGGUGCUAAUACCGCAUACGUCCUACGGGAGGAAGCAGGGGAGCACUUGUGACCUUGACCUAAUAGAGGAGCCGAAGUCGGAUUAGCUAGUUGGGGGGGUAAAGGCCUACAAAGGCGACGAUCUGUAGCGGGUCUGAGCGGAUGAUCCGCCAAACUGGGACUGAGACACGGCCCAGACUCCUACGGGAGGCAGCAGUGGGGAAUAUUGGACAAUGGGGGGAACCCUGAUCCAGCCAUGCCGCGUGUGUGAAGAAGGCCUUAUGGUUGUAAAGCACUUUAAGCGAGGAGGAGGCUCUUUUGGUUAAUACCCAAGAUGAGUGGACGUUACUCGCAGAAUAAGCACCGGCUAACUCUGUGCCAGCCGCCGCCGUAA
rnacentral:rRNA from 1 species